rnacentral:lncRNA from 1 species
UUUCAUAACUAUUUAACCGUAACUCCGAAUUUAAUGUUCUUUAUAUGUAAAUGGGGUGGAAAAAUGCCUAGUUUAACAUGGUGCACUUUGUUUUAUUGUUUAACAACUUUAAAAUAUGUUUUAGGGCAGAACAGUAGCAAAUUCAUAAAUUGCAUAUGAGGUUUUUCCGAAAAUAUUGUUUGUUGUUCCGGCCUCAUUUAAACUUGCCUAAAUAUUUAGUUUACUUUUGUUACACCCCUUGACAUGUUUAACAACAUUUAACAUUGUUGUGUACCUAAACGAGAGCGAACUAAAUAACUCGGAUGUGGUGUUUCGUCAAUAUGCAACUCGUUGCAUAUUGAGCUCCACUUAACUUGUAGUAUUGUGUGUUGCACUUUGCCAUGCCAUGCCCCAUUAAACCGGACAUGCAUCAUAAUUGAUUGUGCAUCAUGCCAUAUUUAUGCUUGUGUGUUUAACAUGUUGUUUGUUUCUUUCCGGUGUUGCUUCUUAGUCCCGGUAAUGUUGCGAUUGUGAGGAUUCGUUCGACUACGUCCAUUUGUCUUCUUCAUGGACUCGUUCUUCUUCCUAGCGGGAUUUCAGGCAAGAUGACCGCUACCCUGGAUCUCACUACUAUCAUUGAUAUGCUAGUUGCUUCGUUCUAUCGCUAUGUUGCGCUACCUAUCAUUUUGUUCUAUCAAGCCUCCCAAAUUGCCAUGAACCUCUAACCUUUGACACCAUUCCUAGCAAACCGUUGCUUGGCUAUGUUACCGCUUUGCUCAGCCCUCUUAUAGCGUUGCUAGUUGCAGGUGAAGUUGAAGAUUGCUCCAUGGUGGACAGGGUUAUGUUGGGAUAUUACAAUAUCUCUUAUAUUAUUAAUGCAUCUAUAUAUUUGGUAAAGGGUGGAAGGCUCGGCCUUAUGCCUGGUGUUUUGUUCCACUCUUGCCGCCCUAGUUUCCGUCAUACCGGUGUUAUGUUCCCGGAUUUUGCGUUCCUAACGCGGUCGGGUGAUUUAUGGGACCCCCUUGACAGUUCGCUUUGAAUAAAACUUGUCCAGCAAGGCCCAACCUUGGUUUUACCAUUUGCAUCACCACCACCUAUACCCUUCCCUUGGGUCGGCCAACCCGAGGGUCAUCUUUAUUUUAGCCCCCCCGGGCCAGUGCUUGUCUAAGUGCUGGUCCGAACUGAGUAGACUGCGGGGCCCCCUCGGGGCAACUCGAGGUCUGGUUUUACUCGUAGGAUGUCUCAUCUGGUGUUACCCUGAGAACGAGAUAUGUGCAGCUCCUAUCGGGAUUGUCGGCGCAUCGGGCGGCUUUGCUGGUCUUGUUUUACCAUUGUCGAAAUGUCUUGUAAACCGGGAUUCCAAGACUGAUCGGGUCUUCCUGGGAGAAGGUCUAUUCCUUCGUUGAUCACGAGAGCUUGUCAUGGGCUAAGUUGGGACACCCCUACAGGGUAUAAACUUUCGAGAGCCGUGCCCGCGGUUAUGUUGCAGAUGGGAAUUUGUUAAUGUCCGGUUGUAGAUAACUUGACACCAGAUCCGAAUUAAAAUGCAUCAACCGCGUGUGUAGCCGUGAUGGUCUCUUCUCGGUGGAGUCCGGGAAGUGAACACGGUUUCUGGGUUAUGUUUGACGUAAGUAGGUGUUCAGGAUCACCUCUUGAUCAUUGCUAGCUUCACGACUGUUCCUUUGUUUCUCUUCUCGCUCUCAUUUGCGUAUGUUAGCCACCAUAUAUGCUUAGCCGCUGCUGCAACCUCACCACUUUACCCCUUCCUUACCCAUUAAGCUUUGCUAGUCUUGAUACCCAUGGUAAUGGGAUUGCUGAGUCCUCGUGGCUCAUAGUUACUUCCAAAACCAGUUUGCAGGUACCAAUGUUACCAAGCAGGUGACGCCACCAAGCUCAAGGAGGAGCUCGAUGAAGAUCUUGCCCUUUGUGUUGUUUCGUUCUAGUUGAUCAGUAGUGGAGCCCAGUUGGGGUCGAUCGGGGACCUUUGUCACAUUUGGGGUUCUUCUUUUAUUUUGGUUCCGUAGUCGGACCUUGAUUGUAUCUGUAUGAUGUAAUGCUUUACUCAUGUAUUGUGUGAAGUGGCGAUUGUAAGCCAACUAUGUAUCUCUUUCCCUUAUGUAUUACAUGGGUUGUGUGAAGAUUACCUCACUUGCGACAUUGCUUUCAAUGCGGUUAUGCCUCUAAGUCGUGCUUCGACACGUGGGAGAUAUAGCCGCAUCGAGGGCGUUACAAGUUGGUAAUCAGAGCCUUCCCCGACCUUAGGAGCCCCACUGCUUGAUCGUUUUUAGCGGCCAAGUUGUGUCUAGAAAAAUGUUUUGAGUCAUUUAGGAUUAUAUAUAUCGGAGAGUUAGGAAUUCUUUUUACUCCCCAGUCUCUUCAUCGCUCUGGUAAGGCAUCCUGACGUAGAGUUUUGACUCUUCUCUUCUCAAAUUUCACUAAAUUUUUUUUAGGAUCACGCGGGUAUCUUGGAAUCAUUCCGAUGGUUUUAUGAUGAGAACAUUGUCUUGGUGCCUUCUGUCAGGGGUUUAGUGGAAGUGUCCUGGGGAGUUGAGCUCUGAGGUGUUGUCGUCAUAAUUUUAUCGUUGCAGUUCUGGAAUACCUGAGUUUAGUACGCCGACAUCGAAAAUCUCUUUUAUGCAGUUGUUGUUGAGAUAACCCCGAUAACCCAGUACUGAGGUGAGUACGGGAGUAUUGCCAUAACUUGUAUAACGGAUGCUUUUCGAAGGUUGAGGUACACGAUUUCCGAAGGUUUCUUGGUUAUGUUUUGACGGAUGGAUACAGCUUGGAUGUAGGUAUUGUUAGUUUGGGUGAGAUAUAUUGCUUCCCCUGUAUCCCCAACACCAGAUUGCAUAACCAGAAAGUUUCGGGAGUUUAUAGGUGGGAAUUCAAGUAGCUCCUAGAACAUCUUUCCGACAGAUGCAUGAUAUGGGAUUGGGUAAAUCUCUAUCAUAUGUUUGUUCCGGCUUAUUCUGCAAGCCAGUCCUUUGUUUUUGUUUUGAGUUGUGGUAUUCGAGUUGCUUCAAUGUCAAGUGUUGAUUCCAUACCUUUCCGAAAUGGUGUUCUCAUACUCCGAUGUGAAUACCAAUCCUUCUCGACAAUCGAGAUUGUCAUGUCAAUCCUUUUCAACCGGCGUGUUUCUCUUCAAGUGGAUCAGAUCACUUCAACAUCAGCAAGACCAAUUAUCAUUUCUUCUCAACGGUGUUUGUUUCAUCCGUCUCCAAGUUGCCUUUGUUUUUCCCGCCCACCCUCCCUUUUUCCUCAAGGACUAAGAUUUCUUUACCAAGUAUCCUUUUAUUUUUGUGAAGUUUCUCCAUUCUUUUCCGUCAAUGUUCUUACCCGGUGGUUCUCAAGAAGAUGUUCUACUAGUUCGUCAUUCCUCAUUCCUUUCUCUUCUCCGGUGGAUUCAAGUCAAGUUUUGUUGAUCAUACCUUUUUCCUCAUUUCAAUGUCUUCUCAUACCGGUGCACCUCAUUAUCAUUCUACUUCUCGCUAUUUGUUAUUCCGGAGUGCUCAAGAUAUCUCAAAGAUUCGUGUUUCCACUCUGCAUUCGUUCAAGCUCUUUCGAGAUUGGUAUCUCAUUCAAGUCAUUUAAUUCAACCGGUGCAACAUCUCUUUUAAAUCUUUGCAACGGUGUUCUUUUGAGUGGGCCCUAACCCACAGGUCUUUUCCCAGGAUCUUACCUGACUCUUCUAUUUUCCCAGAGCUAUCCUAAAUUCUUCUCCAAGUUUGACGUAAGAAUGAGUUAUCAUCAGUCAAAUGCUUUUCUCCAAGAUCUUUCAAAUUCUUUUCAUAGUUGGCUCAACCUCUUCGCUUUUGAUUCUUCCGGUGUGCCUCAAUAAUUCUUGGUGGUGUUUUUCAUUGUCAUUCUCAACAUUUGAAGACCGUAGACGGAUUUCUCUUAAAUCUUGGUCCAUUCUCUUGAAGGUUCAUGGCUCUAGCUUCAUGCUAUCAUCAUAAUUGUUUUGAUUGUGACUAUUCUUUUCACCCAUCCGGAGCAUUUCAUGAGUUGUUUCCAUUUCUUUCCUCCGAAGGCCAUCAUGUCAUAAUUCUUCAUUCUCAGCGUGUAGCUAUCGUUCUCCAAAUCUUACCGGUGAUUUGUUUAAAUAUCCUCUAAUCAGUUCAUGUUCUCUUCGUUCUCAUGUAUCUAAAUCCCCUCAAAUAUCUUCAUUUGUUUUCCAAUUCUUCCCGGUGAAUUGUGCCUUUGCUACAUUCAUUUUCAAUUCUUACGGUGGUUCGUUAAAGAUUUCACUUCCUUCAUUAUCUUAUCAAUUCAUUCGUUGUUUUCAAAUCCUACUGGUGGAUCGUUGAAGACUUUUCUCAAGUUUGCUCUAUAUCUUCUUAAUCCUUUCUAGAAGAAUAAGUAGUAUGCCAACUCCAUUGCUUAUCAUCAAUUUAAUUUGAUGAAGGAUAAACAUACAAUAAAUCUUAUUCUUAUUUCCUCGAGGUGAUUCAAUUCUUUUCUUCCGGAGAUUAUUCAUCAUGAAUAAAUUCUUGAUUACAAGUGAUUCAUCUUUCUUUCCGGAGUUUGUUCAUCAUAUCACAUUCUCGGUUUCAUGUGUUUCAUGUUUUCUUUUCCGGAGUUCCAAGUUUUCCGCAUUAUCUCGUCACGAAGCUCCAUCUAAAUCAUUGCAACGCUUCACCUUGUGUUUUCAACUUCUCUUUCUUUUCAUCAUCCUUCUAUUACUGGAGUUCUUCAUGGAGGCUCUAAAUGGUGGGUCGUCAAGGAUUCUUUUCAUUCUUCAAUUGUUCUUCAAGAUUUCGCUCGAAGUUAUGAUCCGCCAAGCUAUACUCAAAAGUAAACAGGGUGCCCAACACUUGUUUUGUUUUGAGAAGCUCAAGUAUUCUCCGUCUUGCAUUCCAAAGUGCAAUUCCUUCUAUCUUAUCUUUUGAGAUGGUGUUAUGUCACUCUUGACAAUUUCCUUCAUGUUUCAUGAUUCAUAUUGUUGUCAAGAAUGAGGUAUUUUAAAUCCAGCAGUCUCUUCACUGGAUUUAUAUUGGGUUAUAUUUCACCUAAAGCCUUCCCCAAGGAAUGUUGCUAUUUUGUGGUGAUUACGCAUGACCCAAGCUUACUCUUUAUCCUCUUGGUGGAAGAAGUUUUCAUCUCUUCGUUGAUCUCAAGCAAGCAAUUGUUUUCGUUAGUGGCAGAAUUUCACCUCAAGUGUUGAGAUGUUUUCCAUAAGCCACAACAAGUUUGUGCUUCUCGUUGUUGAUUUUCCAACAACUCCGUUCGAUUCUUCUUUGCAAGGAUGCUUUCCAGGUUCACUUGUGGAAAAAGUUGUCAUUUUCUUCUCCGUCCCUUUAUCCCAAUGAUCUAACUUCUAUUCUUUCGUUACGGAGACAUUGUGAUGUUGUGCUCUUCACUCAUCACCUCGUUUUUUUUGAGGAUCGUGUUCUUUUCUUGUUUAUCCAUUUAACCGGAGUGUUGUAUCAUCUCUUCAAUAUCUCUUCAUCUCAUCAAGCUUUUCUACCGGAGUGCUGUCCAAAUUCUGUCAUUCUUGUUCCUUGGCUAUCUCACUAUACCGAGGUGGUCAUAUUCUUUUCGUUCGUGAAGCUCUUUUUUCCAUGUCUUUCAACCUUCAAGUUCUCGUAAUACUCCUUGUUCCUCUUUUCUAACGAAUUGUUUGCAAUCUCGUUCAUCUCUGUUGUACUCUUUCUUUUAAAUUGCUCAACCUCUCAAGGUUUGUGGUUUCACUAGUUCGUCAAAGAAGCAACUUAGUUUUACCUCUUCUCUUCCUCUUUCUUUUCCCUCCGGUGCCAUCCUAGAUCUCGGGACGAGAUCCUCUCGUAGUGGUGGAGUGUUGUAACGCCCCGGAUGUAACUUUCCAUAUUCGUAACUCCAACUCCUGCCUUUUCCGGAGAUGCGAUAUAUUAUUUUCUCCGUGGUUGGGUUUUUGUCUUUCGUUUUGCAUUUUGUUCAUGUCAUGCAUUUCAUCAUCGCAUCAUUCGCAUUGCAUCGGCAUCGUUUUCAUAAAACUUGCAUUCGCUCGUAGUUGUCGCUUCUUCCUUGUUCCUGUUGACCCCUCUCAGAUCAACCGGACCGCUCUCUUCUCUCUCUUUUCUGAGCCCAUCAAAACCCUUUGUCUCCAUGGCGUUUCGUCAAACCCCUCUUGCGUGCGUCCGAAAACUCCCCUAAACCCGACCCGGGCAGUCAUUACCAUUGGGUCCGGAUCAUCCCCUAACGUCUACAAAACAUCUCUGUUUUGUUAUUUGGGCUCCCUAACUAUUUUAUUCGCGACCGUCCGAUUUUAAUCGAAGGGACCAAAUGACCCUAAGCCUACCCACUCGCUAUAUAUAGCAGUCUAACCCUAGAUCCUAGGGGCUUGUCCCAUCCAUUCCCCUCCUUGCGCCGCCACUAACUCCACCUGGUCUCCCCCACCUCGGGAUCUUGCCCGAUCCAAAAUUCCUCAUCGGGAUCCCCUGCCCGAUCCACCCAACCAGCUCGCAGCCGCCUCCCCUUCCCUGCUCCCGUGCGUGUCCAGCACCACAGGAGAGGUGCUCCUCGAGCCCUUGAUCUAGCGCGCAGAUGCCCGAGCGCUCCUCCUCGUGACCCACCGCCUCGGCGAACCGUCACCGUCGGCGACCACUUCCAUCAGGCCGGACCCCGCUCCCCUCGUUGCUUCUCCUUCUCCCGUUCCCUCCGUUUUCCCUCUCUCACUUGCUCUCUGUCAUCUCCAGGAAACUGCAGGAGGCAAGCACCAUGCAAUGGCCUCCCCUGCUCGACGACCGCGUCGCUGUCGUCGACUUCGCGCCCAUCCCCGCCUGAUUCUGCAGCACCGCCGCCCGUCUUCUUCGUUCACGGCAAGCUUUGCCGCUGUCCUGCUCGAGCUGCCAAGUCCCUGUUGCCUCGCCGCUGUACCCCGUCCUCGACCUCAUUCAGCAGCCCCCGCCGCAAGCCGCGACCUCCACAGCCUCCUCCCGAAUCUGCUCCGCCUCGCCUCUGCCGGAUCGGAGCAGCACCGGACUAGCAGGACCGUGCCCUUCCUCUCCAGCCUCCCCUCUGUUUUCUUCUAGAUCACCGGCAACGCUCUCUCUCAGAAUCUCUCUUCUCUCUCGCUUCUCUCCACAGGGAACCGAAGCCAUGGCCGCCGGCCAUCCAUGGUCGCCGCCGCAAGGAUUUGCUCGCCUCCGCUGCCUCCGCGCCAUCCCUGUCGCCGGAGGAUGCAGCCCCGCCGCUUCCAAGUCCUAUGCUUCGCCCGUGGUCGAGUGAGACGACCAUAAACGCAGCCGCGUUGACCGCCCGCUCGCCAGCGCCUCUCUGCCUCGCUGGCAAGGCCCAGCCUGCUCCAGCUCCUCAUCCGGCCUGCCAGGCCUCUCCACCAGCUGGGCCGAGGCCCAUGGUGAGACCCUCCCCCAGCGCCCAUGUCCUGUUUCGGCCUGUGCUCUAAUUCAGCCCGCAUGUGUUUUUUUUACUGCUGCGAAUUUAAUAUUAUCCAUUGUAUUACUGAUUUACAGAAAACCCCUCCAUGUUCAUGCAUAUAAUAACUCAUUAUCCGUGCGUCAUAUGUAAAUAAUUUAUAUAUGUGAUAUGCUUAGAAAAUUGUGUAGAUUAACAAUAUGCCACUUUCAUCCCAUGUUAAUAUGUUUAACAUGUUGUUUACAUUAAUUUGCUCCUAUGCCAUGCUAAAAUGAUUUAUUUCAUAACUGUUUAACCGUAACUCCGAAUUUAAUGUUCUUUAUAUGUAAAUGGGGUGGAAAAUGCCUAGUUUAACAUGGUGCACUUUGUUUUAUUGUUUAACAACUUUAAAAUAUGUUUUAGGGCAGAACAGUAGCAAAUUCAUAAAUUGCAUAUGAGGUUUUUCCGGAAAUGUUGUUUGUUGUUCCGGCCUCAUUUAAACUUGCCUAAAUAUUUAGUUUACUUUUGUUACACCCCUUUACAUGUUUAACAACAUUUAACAUUGCUGUGUACCUAAACGAGAGCGAACUAAAUAACUCGGAUGUGGUGUUUCGUCAAUAUGCAACUCGUUGCAUAUUGAGCUCCACUUAACUUGUAGUAUUGUGUGUUGCACUUUGCCAUGCCAUGCCUCAUUAAACCGGACAUGCAUCAUACUUGAUUGUGCAUCAUGCCAUAUUUAUGCUUGUGUGUUUACCAUGUUGUUUGUUUCUUUCCGGUGUUGCUUCUUAGUCCCGGUAAUGUUGCGAUUGUGAGGAUUCGUUCGACUACGUCCGUUUGUCUUCUUCGUGGACUCGUUCUUCUUCC